UUAAGUUAUUAAGGGCGCACGGUGGAUGCCUUGGCACUAGAAGCCGAUGAAGGACGUUACUAACGACGAUAUGCUUUGGGGAGCUGUAAGUAAGCUUUGAUCCAGAGAUUUCCGAAUGGGGAAACCCAGCAUGAGUUAUGUCAUGUUAUCGAUAUGUGAAUACAUAGCAUAUCAGAAGGCACACCCGGAGAACUGAAACAUCUUAGUACCCGGAGGAAGAGAAAGAAAAUUCGAUUCCCUUAGUAGCGGCGAGCGAAACGGGAAGAGCCCAAACCAAAAAGCUUGCUUGUUGGGGUUGUAGGACACUCUAUACGGAGUUACAAAGGACGACAUUAGACGAAUCAUCUGGAAAGAUGAAUCAAAGAAGGUAAUAAUCCUGUAGUCGAAAAUGUUGUCUCUCUUGAGUGGAUCCUGAGUACGACGGAGCACGUGAAAUUCCGUCGGAAUCUGGGAGGACCAUCUCCUAAGGCUAAAUACUCUCUAGUGACCGAUAGUGAACCAGUACCGUGAGGGAAAGGUGAAAAGCACCCCGGAAGGGGAGUGAAAUAGAACCUGAAACCGUGUGCUUACAAGUAGUCAGAGCCCGUUAAUGGGUGAUGGCGUGCCUUUUGUAGAAUGAACCGGCGAGUUACGAUUUGAUGCAAGGUUAAGCAGUAAAUGUGGAGCCGUAGCGAAAGCGGGUCUGAAUAGGGCGUUUAGUAUUUGGUCGUAGACCCGAAACCAGGUGAUCUACCCUUGGUCAGGUUGAAGUUCAGGUAACACUGAAUGGAGGACCGAACCGACUUACGUUGAAAAGUGAGCGGAUGAACUGAGGGUAGCGGAGAAAUUCCAAUCGAACCUGGAGAUAGCUGGUUCUCUCCGAAAUAGCUUUAGGGCUAGCCUCAAGUGAUGAUUAUUGGAGGUAGAGCACUGUUUGGACGAGGGGCCCCUCUCGGGUUACCGAAUUCAGACAAACUCCGAAUGCCAAUUAAUUUAACUUGGGAGUCAGAACAUGGGUGAUAAGGUCCGUGUUCGAAAGGGAAACAGCCCAGACCACCAGCUAAGGUCCCAAAAUAUAUGUUAAGUGGAAAAGGAUGUGGCGUUGCCCAGACAACUAGGAUGUUGGCUUAGAAGCAGCCAUCAUUUAAAGAGUGCGUAAUAGCUCACUAGUCGAGUGACACUGCGCCGAAAAUGUACCGGGGCUAAACAUAUUACCGAAGCUGUGGAUUGUCCUUUGGACAAUGGUAGGAGAGCGUUCUAAGGGCGUUGAAGCAUGAUCGUAAGGACAUGUGGAGCGCUUAGAAGUGAGAAUGCCGGUGUGAGUAGCGAAAGACGGGUGAGAAUCCCGUCCACCGAUUGACUAAGGUUUCCAGAGGAAGGCUCGUCCGCUCUGGGUUAGUCGGGUCCUAAGCUGAGGCCGACAGGCGUAGGCGAUGGAUAACAGGUUGAUAUUCCUGUACCACCUAUAAUCGUUUUAAUCGAUGGGGGGACGCAGUAGGAUAGGCGAAGCGUGCGAUUGGAUUGCACGUCUAAGCAGUAAGGCUGAGUAUUAGGCAAAUCCGGUACUCGUUAAGGCUGAGCUGUGAUGGGGAGAAGACAUUGAGUCUUCGAGUCGUUGAUUUCACACUGCCGAGAAAAGCCUCUAGAUAGAAAAUAGGUGCCCGUACCGCAAACCGACACAGGUAGUCAAGAUGAGAAUUCUAAGGUGAGCGAGCGAACUCUCGUUAAGGAACUCGGCAAAAUGACCCCGUAACUUCGGGAGAAGGGGUGCUCUUUAGGGUUAACGCCCAGAAGAGCCGCAGUGAAUAGGCCCAAGCGACUGUUUAUCAAAAACACAGGUCUCUGCUAAACCGUAAGGUGAUGUAUAGGGGCUGACGCCUGCCCGGUGCUGGAAGGUUAAGAGGAGUGGUUAGCUUCUGCGAAGCUACGAAUCGAAGCCCCAGUAAACGGCGGCCGUAACUAUAACGGUCCUAAGGUAGCGAAAUUCCUUGUCGGGUAAGUUCCGACCCGCACGAAAGGCGUAACGAUUUGGGCACUGUCUCAACGAGAGACUCGGUGAAAUCAUAGUACCUGUGAAGAUGCAGGUUACCCGCGACAGGACGGAAAGACCCCGUGGAGCUUUACUGUAGCCUGAUAUUGAAAUUCGGCACAGCUUGUACAGGAUAGGUAGGAGCCUUUGAAACGUGAGCGCUAGCUUACGUGGAGGCGCUGGUGGGAUACUACCCUAGCUGUGUUGGCUUUCUAACCCGCACCACUUAUCGUGGUGGGAGACAGUGUCAAGCGGGCAGUUUGACUGGGGCGGUCGCCUCCUAAAAGGUAACGGAGGCGCUCAAAGGUUCCCUCAGAAUGGUUGGAAAUCAUUCAUAGAGUGUAAAGGCAUAAGGGAGCUUGACUGCGAGACCUACAAGUCGAGCAGGGUCGAAAGACGGACUUAGUGAUCCGGUGGUUCCGCAUGGAAGGGCCAUCGCUCAACGGAUAAAAGCUACCCCGGGGAUAACAGGCUUAUCUCCCCCAAGAGUUCACAUCGACGGGGAGGUUUGGCACCUCGAUGUCGGCUCAUCGCAUCCUGGGGCUGUAGUCGGUCCCAAGGGUUGGGCUGUUCGCCCAUUAAAGCGGUACGCGAGCUGGGUUCAGAACGUCGUGAGACAGUUCGGUCCCUAUCCGUCGUGGGCGUAGGAAAUUUGAGAGGAGCUGUCCUUAGUACGAGAGGACCGGGAUGGACAUACCUCUGGUGUACCAGUUGUCGUGCCAACGGCAUAGCUGGGUAGCUAUGUGUGGACGGGAUAAGUGCUGAAAGCAUCUAAGCAUGAAGCCCCCCUCAAGAUGAGAUUUCCCAACUUCGGUUAUAAGAUCCCUCAAAGAUGAUGAGGUUAAUAGGUUCGAGGUGGAAGCAUGGUGACAUGUGGAGCUGACGAAUACUAAUCGAUCGAAGACUUAAUCAA
rnacentral:rRNA from 1 species